rnacentral:lncRNA from 10 species
GAUAAAAUAAUCGCAAACCAAACUCACAUGUGAUUAUUCAAAUGGUAAACACCGGUGAGAAAGAGGUGCCAGGCUGAGGAAAAAGCUAUUGAGAAAAAGAACUCUAUGUUGUGCUUUAGACAAUGAUUCAUGUUUAUGUGUUUUGAGUACUCUUAAGCAAAGGUUGGCAACUAACUAAAUGGUAAAUGAAACAGUCUCCAGACUUGGAUGACACCAUCAGAAGUCUGGACUGCUUCUCCAUUAUACUUUAAGAAAGACAAUACAGUGUUUGUUUGAAUGAAGCAAGAGAAAUUGGAAAAAACCCAAUUGUAAGAAACGGGAUUCUCUACUCAGAUUCAGGAUAAUGUGAUGAGCUGGGAUUAUUUUCUCUCCACUGUGUGUGUCUGUAGAAAAUCCUGUGCUUUGUUCAGGUGACGAGAACCUGUCCUCAUUUCUCAUUCUUUCCCAUCUGCCACCCAGUGAAGAUUUUGAAUAUUUUGAGUGCAGUUUGGGAAAAAUCAGAUUAGCAAACCCAAAGAUUCCAUUUUUGUUGGGAUGAACGCUAACCUGUAGCCUUCAUAAUAGGAACAAUUACCACAAUUCAAAUUAGGAGUACUUUUUUAUUUUAAAAUUUUAGAUAUGUGAAUUAACCUCUCCCACAUGCACACAGACACGGUCCCACUUCCACACUCUGGCUAGAAUCCUUCAGAAACCCAUACCACAGUACAGCCCACACAUGAAUUAAUCUCUGUAAUACAAUUGUAAUGUUUCUGUCUCUCUCCCAGGCCCUUUUUUACUUUUGGCUGAUAAAAAUCUCUAAUGUGCUGCUGUAAAUGCUCUACUUCUAUCCUUAGUCUUAAAAAGAAAUAGCAUUUAUAUUUAUUAGCAUCCACAGAAACAUUUGUCAACAACAACUUGAAGAAUGACAUAACUUUUUAAAGUGCACCCAUCUGGGAGAUUUUCCAAGUUGGGAGAUACCCAAAUUGGCAAAGACUCUAAGAAACCCAUUCGUAUGCACUAAACAUGACACAGUUUCUGGACUUCUUUUAUAUUUCCAGCUAUUAGAUUUGGAAGUGCAAGAGAUAAGACCAAAAAAAUGCAAACAAAAAUAGAACAAACAAAAAAUGACCACGUAGAGACCCACACCUUUAAAAUGAAAUAAAAGCAGAUCUAUAAAAGUUCUAAUAGGAGAGCUGGAUCGCUACAGUAAAAUGCAGAGCAAGGGAGAAAUCAGGACUUCCUUUUUUUCUUAGUGAACUCAUCUCUGAGUCUGGCCCAUUUGACACAAAGACAAAAAGAAACUGUCUAGGAAAAAAACCUUUUCUUCCAUCCUUCUAUGUUCUGAUAUUGGGGGCCUUGUCGAUUAAACUCACAUUCACAGAUGAGUAAGAGAAAAAAAAAAACAGAUUUUAAUCAUAUGCAUACAUAUGGGAACUUCACAGAAACAUGUGACUUAAAGUGGUAGUUAGAAUUUGAGGCUUAGAUACCAUCUUAAUGGGUGAAAAGGAUGAGAAGUGAGGAUGAGGGAAAGGGGCACUUAUCAGAAAACUAGUGACUUUGGGGAAAGAUAAAUGCGCCCUCAGGAGAAUAAAUGGGAGAUACAAUACCUUUGUCACAAUGUCUGGGUAUGGUGCUGACUUCUCUGAGAUGAUUAGAGUUACUCCUAGGAAGAGGAUUUGUGGCAAUUGAGUUUUUUUGUUCUUCUGGGAGACUGCUUUUCAGCAGAGAAGGUAUUUCAGGGACUCAAAUGCCUUCAGCUUAAAAUAAUUUUUAUGCCAUUUUGGCAUAUUCUAGACCCCUUCGAACUGUUACAAAACCAUUUGGGGGUCAACCUGAGGAAUGAACCCUUUUCAAGCAAGGACUCUCCAGAAAAGCCAACGUGUUUUCUUUACUUUCACAAUAUCAGAGAGCAUAGGUAAAAUUUGUCCUUUUCUUCUCAAAAUUUGAAAUCCGUCCAAGUGUUAAUUUUUGCUCUCUGUUAACAUCUAUUACUAUUUCAAGGUCAACUUGUUAGCAAUGAACUGUUUGGUGACUUUUUCUCCUAGUUUACAUAAUUAAUGUUAUAUUUGUAUAUGGAAGAAAGCCACAUACGUUUUCUACACUUUUAAUUUUGCUUUUAGUAAAU